GGGCGCCAUGUUGGAGGCUGCGGUCGGUCGUGGCCGGGGUAUCCCGGCGUUAUGUCGGGGGAGCGAGCCGUCACCUGUUCCCGUCCCUGGGGGUUUGGACAUCUAAGUGUGGCCCACAUCUUGCUGGAAAAUGGUGCUGAUCUCAAUGCACAGAAUAAGUUAGGAGCCAGUGUCCUCACAAUGGCCUCCAGAGGUGGCCACGUCAGCAUGGUGAAGUUGUUGCUGGAAUCUGGAGCUUUUGUAGACAAUUACGACCAUUUUGGCACAAAUGUACUUAACAGCAGCAGAGACGACCUUCCCGAUAUCACUCCAUUAAUGGCAGCUGCUCAGCAUGGACAUGAGGCAGUGGUGCAUCUGUUACUAGACUGGGGAGCUGAUUGUAAUUACACUGUGAAGACGAUGGGCUGGAGUCCUUUAAUGCUGGCAGCUGUUAGUGGAAAGGUGAGCUUGGCACAGCAGCUCAUGGAGAAAGGUGCCAAUCCUGAUCACCUGAAUGUACUACAUAAAACACCUUUUGAAAUCUCUGUUGGCUUCAAACACAAAGACAUGAAGGACUACUUGGAAUCUCUCACAACGAUCAGACCUCAGGCAGAUACAGAAAAGAAGCAACCUGAUGUCUUUCAUGCUUUGAAACUGGGAAACUUCCAGCUGGUUAAAGAGAUUGUUGAUGAAGACCCAAGUCAGGUCAAUAUUACCAAUGUUGACGGUGCAUCUCCAUUAAUGAUUGCAGCUGUAACUGGACAGCUACCCCUUGUGCAGCUCCUUGUUGAGAAAAAUGCUGAUGUUGAUAAACAGGAUAAUGUUCAUGGCUGGACAGCACUGAUGCAGGCCACAUACCAUGGAAACAAAAACGUUGUAAAGUAUUUGUUAAAUCAAGGAGCGGACGUCAAUCUUCGUGCAAAAAAUGGAUACACGGCUUUUGACCUCAUAAUGCUGCUGAAUGAUCCAGAUACAGAGCUUGUAAGACUACUGGCAUCAGCAUGCAUGCAAGUAGACAAAGACAAGAAUAAACUGAACAACAGAUCAUCUUUGCCUAGUUCCAGAAGUAGGCAAUCCUUAAAUGUCCCAAUGUUGCCAGAUGACAAAGGAGGUCUAAAGUCUUGGUGGAGCAGGAUGUCCAAUCGAUUCCGCAAGCUGAAGUUGACUCAGACAUUGCGCCAUGGAUUUCCUUCCAAUCCGUUUGUACCUUUUCCGGAUGAGCCUGAACCAUCAUUAAAUUCCACUAUAAAAGCAGUUUCACAGAGCGAUACGGGUGCCUCUGGAAACCUUGAUGCUGCUACAGCUCGGAUCACAAAUAACAAAGCUAGUGGUGCAAACACUACAAAAGGAGGAAAGGAUGAUGAAUUAUUGACAACCAUGUUGAGAAGUAGUGCCCCAUUUACCAGGCUGCCAAGCGAUAAGCUGAAGGCAGUGAUACCACCUUUCUUACCCCCCUCGAGCUUUGAGCUCUGGAAUUCUGACCGAACACGACUCAGCAAAGAUGGAAAAGCUGAACAGAUGAGAACUGCCUGGCCACAGAGAGCAAUCAAGCAUGAUUUUAACAGCAGCGGAAACUCUGAUAUAACAUCUGUUAGCAAAGGUACUAGACCAGUCAAAUUACCAACAUUUGCAAGAAGACCAGCAUCUCCUUCAAAUUCCAACAACUUCAGUCAUUCUCCUCAUUCUUCUGGUGGAUCCAAUAACAUUGCAGGAAUUAACAGGCAUGGAGGAGAACUGCAUAACAGAUCAGGUGGCAGUGCAGAUAAUGUUUUGUCUCAGAUUGCGGCCCAAAGAAGAAAAGCAGCAGGCUUUCCUGAACAGAAACCCAGCCAACAGCACAGUCCAGUCCAGUCAACUACUUCAUCCACUCUGUCUGAUUUGCAGUGUGCUCAGGUUGUUGGCAAUGGACAUGUAAAGCAAAAACUGGAGAUGAACAAAAGACCUCCAUCUGGGACUUCAUCUACGUCUAAAAGCACAUCACCAACUCUCACACCUUCCCCAUCACCUUCCCCAUCUCCUAAGGUCCAAAACGCAGAGUCUUCUCUCUCUUCUUCUCACAGACAGGCCAAAAGCAACGGUUCCAGCAGUGGUACUAUUACAGAAGAUGGCAACCACUCGGUGGACCAUCAACAGCUUGUCUCUAUUCUGAGAACCAGUGAUGUAGAGAAUCAUGAAAGACGAAACCAUGUGAGAGUAAAAGGAGGCUCUGAAAACUUGGAGAAAGAUGAGCUGACUGGCAUCCUUAAAAAAUUGUCUCUUGAGAAAUAUCAGCCUAUUUUUGAGGAACAAGAGGUGGAUAUGGAAGCUUUCCUUACACUUACUGACGGUGAUCUGAAAGAGCUUGGUAUUAAAACCGAUGGAUCAAGGCAGCAAAUUCUGGCAGCUAUUUCUGAACUGAAUGCAGGAAAGGGUCGAGAGAGACAGAUUUUACAAGAAACUAUACACAACUUCCACUCUUCCUUUGAGAGUAGUGUUAGUAACACACGACCACCAGGUCAUUCUCAAUGUACCAUUAGGUGAGCAGAAGCUGCCAUUUGGGAUUUGAUAACAUGGUGUAAUGAACUGGAAUUACUCGAGAACCGAAGAAGCAUAGAGAUGUAACGUGUCUCCAAGCAACUUGCUGAGCCUAACCACUGAGCUUGAAUGUGUCUUGAAGACAGCAAAGGACAGUAAUGGUGGCACAGAGUUGGGGAGAACAUCCUUUUGUAAGAAUGGAAGCAACAGUUGCUACUGCUAACCAUUUGACAGGAUGCUGCAAGGAGGCUGCUGUGAGAGAUCUAGCUUUUGGGGUUUUGUGUAUGAGAGCUCCAUGAUACAGAUUUGGCUGUGAAAUAGCAACAGAAGCACUAACAGAGAAGGAAGAGAGCAUGUAGAUAAAAGAAGUUUCUGCACCAGCACCUGGCUGCUCUUUAAAACCACAAGAAGCUGUUUCUCCUAAAAGGCAUCAGUGGUCUGGAUUUGAGAAGAACUAAGUCAGAAGAGCAAGAAAAAUGAAUGAUGGUACAAGAAGAUGGAUGUUUUCAUUCUACUCAUACCCAUAGAUGAACAACCCAUAGGAGACCUACACAACAAAAGCACAGAAGAAGGCAUGGAAAACACUACAAAUUAUGGCAGCUUCUACAGGAUGAAGUAUAUGAAUUGAAUAUGCCACUAUUGACUGGAUACAAAUAAAGGAGUCCAAACUGAAAAUGUAAUGGUUUCAUGAGAAGGAAUAUAAAGGAAGAGGAAGAGUAAUGCUGCAUUCUUCUUUAACUGAAAUACACUUUAUCUAUUCAAUAUUAUGAGGUUAGAACAACAGUAAAAGUAAAUAUGAAAUACCUAUUUAUAAAAAUAGCACUUUAUUUGAGGAAAUGUAUAAUCUGUCACCAAUAUUUAAACAAAAAUAGUGUUAAAAUAUUUUAUGUUACUGUUUGUUUUUUUUUUUCUUGAGAAUAAAACCAUUCUACUGACA